GAGAAAAUAUAAUGUGUGACAAUAGGACACAGAAAAAUUAUCUAUACGAAAAGAGUGCACAUUUAUUGAUAAAGUAUGCAUAUCAAAAAGUCAUGGUAUCAUGCUGUCACUGCACCCCUCAUAAGUGCUAAAGGUAGUACAGGCAUAUCACACCAAAAGAUUGCAGUACACUGAGAUGACACACAUUUUCCAGCAAAAGAGCAAAAGAAAAUGUUUGGAAAAUCUCAAUUUGCCGUACUACCUGCAACUGUCAGACAGGGGAGAGACAAUCCAGAAGACUAUCUCCCAAAAAAGUGUGAAAUUCCUGGACGCGUUUCACACCUCCCUUUCUCAACAAGGGCUUACAAAGAAAAUUCCGGAUUUGAUCGAGCAAAUACAUCUCAUCAGAGGUAUUGCCAUGAGAUUAAAUCGUCUUUCUGGUACCUCAUUGUAUACCCUGCCUGG